UCCCUGGAGGACUAGUGGUUAGGCUCUCACAGCCAUGUUCCGGGUUCGAUUCCCGGCCAGGGAA